GAGGCCUCAGAAACAUGUGCUGCUUGUGAGCGCCAUAGGUUUCAGCCGCUGCUUUGAUGUUUCUCCCUGCCUCUGGGCCCGUCUGCUGCAGCCUCCGUCCUUCUCUGCAGAUAAAAGGUGAUGCCUGCAACAGCUUGGCCUGAACGGGUUAAAUUCACGCACACGCAGACAGAAGGGAAAAAAAAUAAGCUGGAGCGGCGGUGGCCUCAUUUCAGUUCCAGAGGAGACACCGACACCCCCCCAUGUCAACCAUCAGCUCACCGCUAAGAUCAUGCUCUCGCUGGGGCUUUAUUUAUCUUCAUGCCAGCUUUCUCCUCCCUCCCUCCCUCUCCCACUUCGCCUUUCUCUCUCCCUCUCCCUCUCUCCCCACCAGAAAGCAGCAGCUUGGAGAGAUCUGCAGUUCAAACAUUAAGAUGCCAGCACUGCUUUUUCCUCCAAACCCUUCACUGAUGCUGGAAGGAGGAGGGACAUUUCCUCAUAGGAAAAAAAGGAUGGAAGAAUGGAGUUGGCAAAGGGACCUGGAGGGUGAAGGCCUUUCCAUCCACAAACACCUCUCCCCUGCCUACAACUCACGACCCGAGCCUAGGGGACGUGGCCGAUUGCAGGGUGGUCUCCAGCAGCCAAAGCCAGUGCAGUCCCUGCAUGCAUCAGAUCAAGCCAGGUGGAUGGGGCUCACCGCGAUUUCCGAGGGAGUUGGCCUGGCUGCCCCCACAGAUCAUAUGCGAGCAAGCCGGGUUUUAAACGAGCCCCUGUUCGGCUCAGAGGUUUAUUCAUUUUUAAAGACAAAAGUGACCCACCCUCUGCCCCACUUGCAUCCGUUGUCGCUGGCAGGAUUCCCAGCAACUUCAGCCACGGCUGGAUCAAGCCCUCGUGGAAGUCGAUGGCUACGUUCUCCAGGAACGUAACCUGUUUGAGGAGCGGGGGCACAGCAUUUGGCCUCACGUGGGCUCAUGAUUCGGGUUUCCAUCUUCCUCCUUAAUGGCAUCCUUGCACUUGAGAUAUUCCACUUGUAACUUGAGAGCAGACCCAAACCAGUAAAAUGCUGGGACCAAAUUUGCAACGGCUGAAAAGGCAACAGAGCAGCUGGUUCUCUACUAGGUGGUCAACAGGGCUUUUGCUUGUAGGCUCCUGCCCGUACCCGCAGCGUAGGGUCCCGUGGGUUAUUCCCUUUAGAAAGGAGAACUUGCUGCUGUCAGUCAUGUCUUAGGUGCAAUCCUGCUUAUUUUCAAAGACCGUCCAAGUCCCAGUCCUAUGAGCACACGAGGAACCAAGAAGAAGAGUUCA